rnacentral:rRNA from 1 species
AACGAACGCUGGCGGCAUGCCUAACACAUGCAAGUCGAACGAGACCUUCGGGUCUAGUGGCGCACGGGUGCGUAACGCGUGGGAAUCUGCCCUUUGCUUCGGAAUAACAGUUAGAAAUGACUGCUAAUACCGGAUGAUGUCUUCGGACCAAAGAUUUAUCGGCAAAGGAUGAGCCCGCGUAGGAUUAGGUAGUUGGUGGGGUAAAGGCCUACCAAGCCGACGAUCCUUAGCUGGUCUGAGAGGAUGAUCAGCCACACUGGGACUGAGACACGGCCCAGACUCCUACGGGAGGCAGCAGUGGGAAUAUUGGACAAUGGGCGAAAGCCUGAUCCAGCAAUGCCGCGUGAGUGAUGAAGGCCUUAGGGUUGUAAAGCUCUUUUACCCGGGAUGAUAAUGACAGUACCGGAGAAUAAGCUCCGGCUAACUCCGUGCCAGCAGCCGCGGUAAAGUCAGUGACU